AUGCUCGAUCACGCGGCCACCGUGCUCCCCACGCCACCGUAUGUCCAGGAGCCCCGGAGGGUUCUUCUUCUUCGGCCACACCACCGGGCCGGAGCUGGGAUGCCGCCGCUGCGUCGCCAUCGCCGUCUCCCCCUACUCGACUGCCACUGCCUCGCCAUCAUCACCAUCGAUCUACACCAGCACAACUUCCCGGCCUCCCCGACCACACCCUCGCGCUCACAGUGA
rnacentral:rRNA from 1 species